rnacentral:rRNA from 1 species
UACGUAGGGUGCGAGCGUUAAUCGGAUUUACUGGGCGUAAGGCGUGUGUAGGUGGCUACCUAAGUCGAUUGUGAAAUCCCUGGGCUCAACCUGGGAAUUGCAGUCGAUACUGGGAAGCUCGAGUUCGGUAGAGGACGGCGGAAUUCCCGGUGUAGCGGUGAAAUGCGUAGAUAUCGGGAGGAACAUCGAUGGCGAAAGCAACCGUCUGGGCCUGAACUGACACUGAGACACGAAAGCGUGGGGAGCAAACGGG